rnacentral:rRNA from 1 species
ACAGGCCUACGGGGCGCAGCAGUAGGGAAUCUUCCACAAUGGACGAAAGUCUGAUGGAGCAACGCCGCGUGAGUGAAGAAGGGUUUCGGCUCGUAAAACUCUGUUGGUAGUGAAGAAAGAUAGAGGUAGUAACUGGCCUUUAUUUGACGGUAAUUACUUAGAAAGUCACGGCUAACUACGUGCCAGGAGCCGCGGUAAUACGUAGGUGGCAAGCGUUGUCCGGAUUUAUUGGGCGUAAAGCGAGUGCAGGCGGGUCAAUAAGUCUGAUGUGAAAACCUUCUGCUC